UGCCAGCCGCCGCGGUAACACGGGGGGAGCAAGCGUUGUUCGGAUUCAUUGGGCGUAAAGAGCUCGUAGGCGGUUUCGUAAGUCGGGUGUGAAAAAUCUGGGCUCAACCCAGUGGAGCACCCGAUACUGCGAUGACUCGAGUCCGGUAGAGGAGUGUGGAAUUUCUGGUGUAGCGGUGAAAUGCGCAGAUAUCAGAAGGAACACCGACAGCGAAGGCAGCGCUCUGGGCCGGUACUGACGCUGAGGAGCGAAAGCAUGGGGAGCAAACCGGAUUAGAUA
rnacentral:rRNA from 1 species